UAGCACUAAUGUCGGCGUUCUGUUUGUCCUCCAGCUCCUGCAGCUGCUUCUCCAGCGCUUCGUUCAUGCCCCGGCAUGCUUCGAUCUCCAGGGUCUUGGCCUUGAGCAGGCGGCGGCUCUCGGACACCUCGUCCUUGGCGGCGCGCACCGCGUCGGUGUUCUUGGCGGCGCUCUCGGUCAGCACCGUGAAGCGGCUCUUGAACCACUCUUCGGCGUUCUGCAUGUUCUUGGCGGCCAGCUUCUCGUACUGGGCGCGGAUGUCCUUGAGCGCGGCGGAGAGGUCGGGCUUGGAGGACACGUCCAUCUCCACGGAGAUCUGCGCGUACUGGAUCUGCGCCUGCAGCUCGGCGAUCUCCUCUUCGUGCACUUUCUUCAGGAAGGCGAUUUCGUCCAUCAGGCUGUCGAUGCGCUUUUCUAGCUCGGCGCGGGCGAGCGCGGCCUCGUCGGCUCCUUUGCGCGCUUCCAUCAGCCGGCCUUCGGCGUCCUCGCGGCUCAGCACCUCCUCUUCAUAGCGCGCCUGCAGGUUGCGCAAAGUCUCCUCCAGCCCUUCGCGCUCGCCCUGGAGCGCCUGCUUCUCGUUGGUGGCGUCUUCCGCCGCCAGGCGCAGGUCGCGAAUCUCCUGCUCGUACAGCGCCCGGAAGCGGGAGGGCUCGGAGUGCUUCUGGCGCAGCACCAGCAGCUCGGCUUCCAGCACCUUGUUCUGCUGCUCCAGCUCGUGCACGCGCUCGAUGAAGCUGGCGAAGCGGUCGUUGAGGUCCUGCAGCUGCGCCUUCUCCUGGGUGCGGAUCGACUUAAGGUCGUUGCUGAUGGCGGCUACCUGGCUCAGGUCGAGGUUCUCCAGACUGGGCAUCAAGGAGCUGGAGCUGGAUGAGUAGCUGCGGCGCACGGACAGCGAGGAGGAGACCGGCGCGGAGUAGCUGGACAUCCAACCUGAUGAUUUCAACAAGCCUGGCAGGUGGCUGGUUUUCGGAGAGAAGCUGCUGCUGCCGGCCCCGAGCGCCCGGGGCGGUCUCCCGGGAGCAGGACUCAGACCCGGACAUCUCGUUCUGGGGCGGACAGCGAAUAGCCGCGUGAUUCGUCCCCGGCUCCACUCGAAUAAUUAGAUUACAGUAGCAUACUGAAGGGAACCAUGCUAACAGUUUUCCAAUAGAAAACCCGGCACAGCUGUCCCUGGGAGGCUGAGAGGGUGAAGUACUAGGAGCCAGUACCGCGGAUGCUCCGGGAGGUGCUGCACUCCUCGGAGCCGCCCGACAGAAGGGUGGCAUGAGUCUUAACCUCCCGGCUUCUUUGCAGCUCUAAAAAGCCUUCGUUUCUCAUACCCCACGCCCUUCCUGGAAGAAGACUGCAGCCCAAACUUCCAGGGGGGUUCUAACCAAACUCCAUUGUCUCAAGUCAUGCAACUUCAGGAACACAGACCUUCGAAGUUUCAUCUGUCAAGAGGUCCAUCCACAUCAGUCAUUCCAGGAUUUCAAGCCUGAGCCAUUGGGCUCUCGGGAUUUGGCUUGGCCCUGACAGACACGUUAAAGCCUUUAUUCUGAUGACUUUAUACAGCCCACACAUCCUUGGCCUUCACCAUUUAUUGGUGAUCCAAGAGUAGGCAAGGCUUCUCUGUGGAGAGAGAGGAGCUCCUGGCGGAAGGCUUUGACUGCAGAGGAAGCUGCCCCAGGAGGAGGGCGGUGGCUUCCGAGCCAGUGAAAUGUGCAGAGAAGAAACCUGUGGGGCACCUGCCGCCAUCCCAUCCGUCUUACGGGAGCUGAAAAGGGAGGUGCACUGCAGGGCCCUGGUGGGUGGGAAUGAAGGGCAGGGGCCCUCCCCCUGACUGGGCCUGGUGAACCGGGAGUGGGCAGAGGGGCCGAGCAACUGUAUGUGUGAAUGUAGAUCUCUGGUCUUUUUAAAAAUAGCUCCUGCUUGAGACCCCUCUUUCUCCAUUACAGCAUGUUUUUCAGGGGCUCCGAACCUAGCCUGUGUCUGGGUUUGGGUUAGCCUACUUUCAGCCUUCCCCGGCAAGGCACCUGCCUCUUCUUAAAUAUUCUGUCCAGUCAUCCUCCUUUUAAAAUCCUCUUCCCAGCAUUUCACCCUGAAUGCCCCUGUGGCAUUUGCAUUUGUGUAAAAUGAACAACUUUAGAAAACCUGCUUAGAAAAAGAAGCCUGACUUUUCUCUUCCCUGCUGUAAGUGUUUCCACAUUCGUGUUGUUUGUAAUGGUGUCAUUAUUUCCUUAGAAGAAGGCUCUUGUGGGUCUUGUUACAUGCUUGUGCCUUUAUUUCCCUUGAAGCGUUUUCUCCACCAUCAUGAAAUGGGUUGAGGGCUGCCAGCAAAACACACUCUUAGGAGAUACAAAUUAUUGUAAAAGCAAAUGUAGACAUACGUUGAUGAAACUCAUUAGUAGGACUCUAUCUGCAAUCCCCUAAAGGACUGUUAAGGUAAUUUAACAGGUAAAAUAUAGUCCCAUUAUCGCAGGGUCCAUAAAACAGAACCCUCAGAACCACUGAAAGGAUUUUGCUUCUCCAGUGCCAGUAGAAUCAGUAGCAUUGGAAGGGUGGGACCUGGUCCCUUUUGAUUCCAUUGUUCUAAAACUCUGGCAUGGCAAGAAGUGUAGUAUGGGUAUCUGUUUUGAAAAGCACAGUCUGAAAUUUAGGCUGAAAUGAUGAGACAGGCCUCGGAGAAGCAUCAGUCUGUUGGGGGGGAGGGGAGGGAAGGAGCAGAAUUCUCCCGCCACCAGUGAGCUGUGGGAACAGUCCGAGUCCAGAACAGCAGAUGGGCCCCGGUCACCUCACCAUCAUGUGGACACACCAGGAUCGGCCCACAUCCUUUUGAAGCAAGGAGGGAUGAAGGAAUAGAAACACAUGCAGGAUAUCUACCCUAUGACAGGGUAGCUACUGUUUAAUAAUUACAGAAUCCCCCUGAGAUGGUUACUGUUACUCAGCAAACAGCGAGGCCCAGAGAGGUUAAGUCAUUCGCCAACUCACACAGUUGCUUCAAACCUAAGCCCUGUCUGCUUCCAGUCUAAGCAGUGCUCCACUCCUAACACACUGCAGCUGGUGGCAUUUGCUGCCCAUAUGUCUCUGUGGAAUCUGAUAAUUGCAUGCUGCAGUCUGCAGAGCAUGCAUGUAGUAAACCUCUCGUGUUUUGAGGAUACCAAUCUGAAUUGAUUUACACCAGGAGACUCUUAAUGAGCGAGGAAUGACCAUAGACUCUGAUUGUUGUAGAUUUCGCAGGCGUUUCAGUGUGAAAUGAAACAGAGGCAUAUAACUGGUGAUGUCACCUUUUAGGCACGACUCUAAACAUCAGUUUACAAAACAUAUUAAUCCUGGAAUUAAUGAGCUAAUAUACAACUUAAUUGAUCUAAACUCUUUAAAAUGGCCACAUCCUGACUUCUGCUUUUUUUCUAUUAAAAAUACUUUCAUUUUCUGCCCUAGUAAAUAGGGUUUCUUUGAUAAAGUGACAUUCAAAAAUGGCUAUAAAGAAUGAAAGAAAAAAAUGCUGGCACUUAAUAUAUCAUUGUUGUAGUUUGUCGUGCUUUCUACAGAUCUUUAACUUUUUAAAAAGAAACAUGGAUAAGAUCAACACAGACUGCCUAGUUUGGGGAAGCCACAAAUAAAUUUCCUCUCUGUUCCUUGU